UGAGGAAUCUUGGACAAUGGGCGCAAGCCUGAUCCAGCCAUGCCGCGUGAGUGAUGAAGGCCUUAGGGUUGUAAAGCUCUUUUGCCGGGGAUGAUAAUGACCGUACCCGGAGAAUAAGCCACGGCUAAAUUCGUGCCAGCAGCCGCGGUAAUACGAAUGUGGCGAGCGUUGUUCGGAAUCACUGGGCGUAAAGAGUACGUAGGCGGCUUGAUAAGUCAGGAGUGAAAUCCCCGGGCUCAACCCGGGAAUUGCUCUUGAAACUAUCUCGCUAGAAACUCGGAGAGGUUGGCGGAAUUCCAAGUGUAGAGGUGAAAUUCGCAGAUAUUUGGAGGAACACCAGUGGCGUAAGCGGCCAACUGGACGAGUAUUGACGCUGAGGUACGAAAGCGUGGGGAUCAAACAGG
rnacentral:rRNA from 1 species